rnacentral:rRNA from 1 species
AUAAACGCUUGCGGUGUGCUUUAUGCAUGCAAGUCGCACGAUUUUGAGUAAUCGGAAUAGUGGCGAACGGGUGAGUAACACGUAAGUAACCUGCCCUUAAGUGGGGAAUAAUCCUUCGAAAGAAGGACUAAUACCGCAUGUGGUCCUUGACCGCAAGGUUAAGGACUAAAGUCGUAAGGCGCUUGAGGAGGGGCUUGCGUCCGAUUAGCUAGUUGGUAGGGUAACUGCCUACCAAGGCUGUGAUCGGUAGCUGGUCUGAGAGGAUGACCAGCCACACUGGGACUGAGACACGGCCCAGACUCCUACGGGAGGCAGCAGCAAGGAAUAUUGCGCAAUGGGCGAAAGCCUGACGCAGCGACACCGCGUGGGGGAUGAAGGACUUCGGUUUGUAAACCCCUUUUCUCAGGGAAGAAUAAUGACGGUACCUGAGGAAUAAGUCACUGCCAACUACGUG